GUUGUAGCUUAGUGGUAGAGCAGAUGCCUCGGACUUGUGAGGCACUGAGUUCAAUCCUCAGCACCACA
rnacentral:tRNA from 1 species